rnacentral:misc_RNA from 1 species
UACAUGGGCGAUAAUAGGCGAAAAUAAAAAAUUUAAAUUUUGGCGGCAGCAAAUUUAAACAAUAAUGACGUUAUGAAAAGCUAUAUUACGCUUGUUUGAGAUUUACCAGAAAUUCAAGCAUGUUAAAGUAUCAAACACCAAAUGUUUUACUGACAAUGUAACAGAUGUAGGAGCACCGUGUCUGAGGGACUAAGUAUACUCCAUAGUGUUUACUGCUGUUUAAUACCGAUGAAGACAUCAUGAUGAUAUCAUGAUAUCCUUGAAAAUGCUCAAUUCUAAAUGUAUUUGACAAUGCAGUAACACAACUUGAACGAUGACUCAAUGUCUCAAUGUGACAUCUGUCACGUCGACAAUCAAGGAAAAUUUCGUUGGUGACAUUGAGGUCUCAGAACCUGAUGAGCCAACCAAAAUCAAUGUCACUUCUCUGGACUUCAGACUCCCAGCAAAAUCAGUUUUUAAAAAGCCAUGGACUCCACCUUCCAAAGGUGUUCUAGUGCCGAGGAAGACUAAAGGUAUACCAAGGUCCAAGAACAUUGCUGAAACAUUGCUCAUGAAACUAGCUGCAACUAGUCAAAGGAAGCAAAACAUGAUUAAAGAAGAACCAAACUCAAUAAACAAGACCAAAAAGGUGCAAUGGAGCCAAUGCCCAGCAGUGUGUGAUACAUGGGACCUAACCAAGUGGACACAUCAAGACUUAGCACAACACAUAUCACAUCUGAAAAUAUCUCCACUUCAGCGGGGCAAGUGGAUCUUCUCAUUAGACAACAUAGGUAAUCCAGAUAGAGGGGCCAGUAUAUGGAGUGAAAUGUGUGUAAUGAUCAGUAAGGGGCUUCUCCCUCAUUGUAAUGCUUGCCUUAGAGAAAACCAGGAUAUCUGGGUGUAUUGUGACUGUAACAAUGCAAUAAAGAUUUACAAUACGCUAAAAGAGACCUUCACAGUAUCCCACAAAUUGACAUUUCAUAUAGUCGGAGAGAAUAUUUCUAUUGAGAGAUAGCAAAUGGAUGUUGUUUUAGUAUUUAUGCCAUUAUUUUGAGGACAUUUGUGUGGAAUUGCUGUGUUAUCAAUUUUCUUGCAUCAAGAAUGUUAAGAGGCCAUGGGGUCCAAAGGCUGGCAGUGAAUGAUACUCUAGAGGCCUAGACAAUGAUAAAAUUUGAUUUUAUCUAACAUCCAUGUUAGAUAAUGAGGGCUAUAAAUGCCUAAGUACUGCAAGUUGAGCUCUUCUUACAUAUUGAUAUUAUAAAUUCUUUGGGAUUUUUAGUUGCAUUUAUUUCAUCCAUUGUAUUGCAUUUUAAAAAGCAUUUUAUGUCACUGCCAAAAGUGGUUACAUAUUGCUA